AGUAUUUUAAAUUGAAACCUUUAUGUGUUAGUAUUGUUUGAAAAUUGACAAGUUGUUGUAAAUACGUGUUUUGGAAAGAAAACUAUGUUAUUAUAACGGUAGCGUUAUUUAACUUAUAAUAACAAAUGUGUACGUUAUCUGACUUGAUGAGCACAGUAUCUUAGUUAUUCCUGAGACAUCGGACACUCCGGAUAAGUUUACACCAUUAAUAAAAAGCACUAUGGCGGCAGGAAUCGUUCUUCUGCUUGGAGCCUUUGCAUUUUCAGUAUUUUGGACGACAAAAUUCUUACGUGAAGUCUACGACACUUCUAGUAGCGGUAGCAAUGUUACCACAACAACAUCACACGCAAUCAAAAGAUUUUUAUUAAAUGAAUCUUUCAAGAAUACGGAGUUUCUCGAAUAUAUAGACUGAAUUUAAUGAUACCUCUUGUACGGCGCAUUAGGAUAUGGCUUGUACUUAAUUUACCCUGACGUAAAAGAUUACGUCGAUAACUUUAAGUUUCUACAAGGUGAUGAAACUGUUCCGACUCACGAUUCUUUUGGGACGGAAGCAAAUUGGACGGAUGCCUGGAAUUCUAGUUGGAUAGCCGAAAAUAUUACAUCUCUUAUUGCCAAUAAUAUUACAUCUUUUACUGCGAAUAAUGCUACAACUAAUUGAUUUGUAACAUUAAAUAAUGUUAUAGUAUAAUAUUAUAUUAUGUAUGUUAUAUUCCUUUUAUUAAAUCAGAUGGUUUUCGGAAAUAAUGGUAACAGAUCCUAAGGCCUAGUAUUGUUUUUUUGUAAAUGUUAGACAACCACCUAUGUGAAGGUUCGACAGUACGUGUUUUGUGACAAAGGCAAGGAAUAUGCAGUCAUUUCAACAAGACCCAUUGUACUUUUAAUUUUAAGAUUAUUUUGUCUUUGUUAUUAGUAUUGGCCGACAUAUAUUCGUAUUUACUUCAUUAGGAAAGUUAUUCCGAAUAUGUACUUAUUUGGUGAUAACUGUAUAUUAUCACAUUUUUGUAUUUCCCUUGGUAUGUUUUCUAAAACAAAGAAUUAGGUAUGUAGUUCAAAGGCCAACGAGUUAAAUUUCCCCCAAAUCGAAUUCCUUCAAUCCGUUUUCAACUCUAUUACAAUAAAAUAAAAUUGAAACUUUGUUCUACAGCUUUGGGUAGCUUGAUGUGCUGGCAUUCACAGAUAGCAUUUGUAAUUACUAGCGGUCAAAGUCAAGUCGAAAGUUAAAUUGAAAAUAUGUCAUACUCAUAUUUAAGAAACUAUUGCUACCUGUAAUGUAAGA